AGGAAAUGCAAUUUACAUAAAAAUGUAAAUUCUUUUCCUUCAUUAUUCACAAUAUAUAUAGAUAUAAUGAACACCUUUUCAGAAGAUUCACAAGGCUUGUAUUGCAAAUAAUCAAUAAUGUCAAGUUCUAGCUCUUUCAAGUAAUUGUAAGAGCUAAAUCAAAUUUAAAUCUUCAUCAAAGGAAAUCCUUUGCCAUUCAAUGGGCAUCAACAAUAAAAAAAAAUGUUCAACAAGAUAACAACACAGCACAAGAACCCAAUGAUAGUUUGCAUUGCUAACAAGUAAACCAAAGGUAAUGCUCAUUUGAUCCCAAGAAUGGUUUAUUUUUUGAGUAUUUUGUUUAUUUAUUUGUUUUACAUGGGAAGGCAAUGCAUUAGAUUCUUGGGUAUCGAAAGAAACAUUAUGGAGUCUUAAUAUGCAUUAAUUUUCUAACUAAAUUCAAUUCUCAAUUGUCUUCCUAUAACUUCCCUCUUUCCACUUGACUUAACUGAAAAUCCCUUCACGUUUAAAUCGAUUUCGGGUAUGCUCCAUUUAGUCAAUUUAAGGAUUGGAUGCAAGACAUGUCUCAAAAAAAUAAUGAAGGGCUGAGAUUUUAAAUUAAAAAAAAAAAAGUAUUUAUUCAAUAAAAAUAAAAAAUUCUCUCACCUAGCUCAUUCACCUUCCCCUCCCUCUUGUUACCAGAUCUCUAUCUCUUUCUCCUCUUCUCUCAUCACCGCCCACCGUCAUCCCCCUCCGACGUCCGCCGCCUCUUCUCAAUCAAUCAUGAUGUUAUUAAGUGAACAAUGAAGCUACAAGAGUGCUUAAUUUCUUCAAAACCUGGAUUUUUUUCUCAUCUUGUGGUUUCCUUUUGGUUAUUGUUUUCAAACUGUAAACAGAAAUUUCAUAAAUGAAAUAGUUCACCGAUAAUACCUUCCCAUAACAUGCAGCGGUGAUGCUUUUCUUUGUGGAGAGGAG
rnacentral:lncRNA from 1 species